AUGCACGCUGGCGGCGUGCCUAAUACAUGCAAGUCGAGCGAACAGACGAGGAGCUUGCUCCUCUGACGUUAGCGGCGGACGGGUGAGUAACACGUGGAUAACCUACCUAUAAGACUGGGAUAACUUCGGGAAACCGGAGCUAAUACCGGAUAAUAUAUUGAACCGCAUGGUUCAAUAGUGAAAGACGGUUUUGCUGUCACUUAUAGAUGGAUCCGCGCCGCAUUAGCUAGUUGGUAAGGUAACGGCUUACCAAGGCAACGAUGCGUAGCCGACCUGAGAGGGUGAUCGGCCACACUGGAACUGAGACACGGUCCAGACUCCUACGGGAGGCAGCAGUAGGGAAUCUUCCGCAAUGGGCGAAAGCCUGACGGAGCAACGCCGCGUGAGUGAUGAAGGUCUUCGGAUCGUAAGACUCUGUUAUUAGGGAAGAACAAAUGUGUAAGUAACUAUGCACGUCUUGACGGUACCUAAUCAGAAAGCCACGGCUAACUACGUG
rnacentral:rRNA from 1 species